GGAAAAGGGAAUUGAUCAGACGAAGGUGGAUACUUCUCGCCAAGGACUUCAUACAAGGACUUCUCAGCAGCAUGAAGAGCUAAGCAAUCCUGCAACAUAUAGGGUUUAUCCUCCGAUUCUUCUUCCAUUAAAACGUCAUUUAUGUACUUGAAGAAAGCGUGGGAGAAAUCGAAGGUUUCACUAUUGUAGGGAGAAUCACUAUUCGAGCUCGAUUCCAUAGAUGGAAUAUUGGCACUAGGAGAUUGCAGGUUGGCAGAAAUUGAUAGAGGGUUCAUGGAAGCAAGAUUGAAUUCAAACCCAUCAACAGAAUUAUGAUUUGAAGUAACUGCAAAUGAUCCGCACUCACACUCGUCUCCGUUCAUUGAAGCGGAGGAGCAAGUGGAGUACUAAUUGGAU
rnacentral:misc_RNA from 1 species